UGGUUAAUUGUUAUCAUUCAUCAAAUCUACACACAUUGGUCUACACGAGUAUGAAGUCUAUUCUCUAUUCUGUCGUUCUCUUAAUUUCCUUUUAUUGCACUCAAGGUCGCAGCUAUGGCUACCACAAGAAGACGAAAAAAGUUUCAGUUGUGUUACCUAGCAUCAAAACUCCACUCUGUAACGUCGGAUGUACAAGACAAUUUAUAUCUCUAGAAUGUAGACAGGAAACAUUUGGAUUUGAGAAUGGUGUGAGAUGUAAAGGAUGCGACAUUGAUAUUUGCAGAGGCAAGGGAGAUAAUUUCAACAGAUGGCAGGAUAACGAAAGAAGGGAAAAUGGUGGGCGCUGGAGAAACCGUGAUCAAGGAAUCGAUGUUGGAUUCAUUGAUAACAUUCAAAAUGACUUUUUAAAUCAAGAACAAAGGUUAAAUCAAGGUGAUUGGUCAAGAAAUAGAUUCGAUACUAGAAUAAACAGACAAUUCAGAAAUGAAUGGAAUUUGUAAUCGGAAUUUAGUUUUGGAAAAUACGUUGUCAGCUAUUGUGUUAUAAUUAGUCAUGAAAUCCACGUUAUAUAAGUGAUAAAUAUGUCAAUAUUAUAAUAAUAUUAUUUGUUUUAUAUUUUUGCAAAUAAAAUAAUGUUUUUAUCAAAUAUA